GGCUAUGGCGGGCGGGGCGUGGGGGCCUUGUGCCCGCCGGUUUCUUCCUAAUAGCCCGGUUUUCGAGCCACGCUCUGCCCGCCACCUUU
rnacentral:antisense_RNA from 19 species